CCACUCUCAGGGUCACACCUGGAGAGUCUUCAGUACUCUACCAGUCUCGGAUAAGGGAGGGAGAGUCAAGCAGAGGCCUAUCCAUUCCAUUCCUAGCUCAGGCAGCAGCUAGUAGGGGGAAGACAAUCUGCUACAAGU